GGAUAAUCAAUUUGGGGGUAAUACAAGGUCCACGCCUCCCUGACAAUUCGUAUUCUAGAUGUAUGCAUGUGCUAAGAUUUGUCUUGCCUUGAUCUGAUUUUGAUGGCUUGCAGUCAAGUGUCUAUUCUCGAGAUUGGAUUGACUCUCAUUCCAUCAUUUUCCUUGUGGUUGUUCUUGGGCUACUAUUAAAUGAGUGGUAUGUGCUUGCUGUUCAUUCUUUUAUGUAUAUCGACAUCAUCGAUUGACACCAUAUUUACACUAUUUUUAUUCAUGAUGUUCUCCUACUCAAAAAAAUGAAUGCAAGUUCUCCAGCUUGAUGGAUUCAAGCUCGGUUGUGAUGGAUUGGCCUGGUUCUGCUGGGUUGUAAGGCGAGGCACUGAUUUCUACUUUAAUGUUUUUUGCCAGAGAGUAUUAUGUUUGAAUGCCCACAUCAUCCUUUUUGAAAGUGCAAUUGACUACAAUGUGACAUUCUUUUUUUAAUACCAAAAAGUUCAAAGCUUUAUAAAAAAAAUUGAAACAUAAUUGCUUUGGCAUGUUCAAAAGUAUACUGCAAUAUUAGUAAUUUCAGUGCCCAUUCUGAAGUGCCAAUAUCUGAAUGCUAAAUCCAAACUAACAAGCUCCAACAGGCAAAAUUGGCAUGACAUCGAUCUUUAGCAGUCUGUAGAGGCACUAGAACAUGACAAGAACUUUUUCUAUUUAACAUUCUAUUGCUCAUUUUCCUACUUUUAUAUCCGAAGCUAACCAAAAUUUGGGUGGUUGAUAUUUUUACCUACUCUACAUUUUCUAGCUUGACGGAUUUUGAAGGUGAGGUACUGAUUUCUACAUUAUUUCAUUGGUGGGGUAUGUUUUGUACGGACUCGUAAGAAUUUUUUCCUCACCACCUGAUGUUAUAUACUUUGUGGUAUUGAGAAGCCACAGUACGGAACCAAAGCUUUGAACUGUAGUUUUCCUACUUAAUAUUCAUUGCUAAAUUUCUCAUUUUAUCAGUAGUUGAAUCUCUAUUUUGUUCUUGUGUAAAAAAGGUGCUUCAGUACUGCCCUUUGUAUGCAAUAGGGAAAUGGUCUCUUUGUUCAUCACGAGAAACAAUAGUUUAAAAUUUAGAAAUGCUUAUGGAGAUUACAAUAUUAGUCAUGUGAUCCACAUCGGAUUUUUUAUAUCAUUGCUGAUGCACCAAGUUGUUUUUGUGGGCAGAUCAAGAAUGUCUACCGCGUGUUGGGUCAAGGUGACAGAACACAAUUCAUCCCAUUAUCAUUAUGGGUGUAUGAUGGUAUAGUUGUAAGUUAGGAUUUAUAAUACAUGAAAAAAUUGAUUGCACGCAUAAGUAAGAAAUGUAAUUUACAGGAUAUAUAUACUUUUACAAUCAUACCCUUAUGCCACUUGAAAAAGGUGAAGGCAGGUGUUAAUUUGAUGUCGCUGUUUUGAAUACAUGCAGUGAGUGAUGUUCAUACUUGGCAUUCUUUGUCAGAAUAGUGGUAUGAGGCAAGGCUUCAAAAUAAGGGAACAGAAAUGUUACAGAGUUAUACGUGUGCUCAACAUCAUUUGCCAUUAUUCAUGUUAGAGAUAAUUCGGUGACCUUAAUUAUGAUAACCUUGGAUAAUGUCUGCUCCUCGUGUUGAUUGCUAUUCUUCGGCUGGUAUGAAGGUGAGUGAGAGAGUUUCUCUACUGUAGUUUGUUGGAGUUACCAUUCUUCAGAAAUUUCUCAAUGGAUGUAAUCAACAGUUCUUAGAUGAUAUGUAUUCUAAAUUAAGACAUAGAUAAUAGAAGUUACCAUUUUUUACAAAUUUCUGAAUGGAUAUUAAUACACAGUUGUUAGACAAUAUAAAUUUAGAGAAGGUAAAUUACUGAAGCAAGUUCCAAAAUUCUAUUAUGGAUAU
rnacentral:lncRNA from 1 species